UACAGAGGGGGCAAGCGUUGUUCGGAAUUACUGGGCGUAAAGGGCGCGUAGGCGGCCUUCUAAGUCGAACGUGAAAUCCCCGGGCUCAACCCGGGAACUGCGUCCGAUACUGGAAGGCUUGAAUCCGGGAGAGGGAUGCGGAAUUCCAGGUGUAGCGGUGAAAUGCGCAGAUAUCAGGAGGAACACCGGUGGCGAAGGCGGAUCUCUGGGCCUUACCUGACGCUGAGGCGCGAAAGCUAGGGGAGCGAACAGG
rnacentral:rRNA from 1 species